rnacentral:misc_RNA from 1 species
UUAAGUUCAGCGGGUAUUCCUACCUGAUCCGAGGUCAACCUUCAGAAAUAAGGGGGUUUAGACGGCGUGGCCAGGCCGCGUCCCAGUGCGAGGUGUGCUACUACGCAGAGGAGGCUACAGCGAGACCGCCACUAGAUUUCGGAGCCGGCGCGCCCAGGGCAGGGCGGCCGAUCUCCAACACCAGGCCCGGGGGCUUGAGG